GACGAACGCUGGCGGCGUGCUUAACACAUGCAAGUCGAACGGAAAGGCCCUGCUUUUGUGGGGUGCUCGCGUGGCGAACGUGUGAGUAACACGUGAGUAACCUGCCCUUGACUUUGGGAUAACUUCAGGAAACUGGGGCUAAUACCGGAUAGGAGCUCCUGCUGCAUGGUGGGGGUUGGAACGUUUAGGUGGUUGGGGAUGGACUCGGGGCUUAUGAGCUUGUUGGUUGGGUAGUGGCUUACCAAGGCUUUGACGGGUAGCCGGCCUGGGAGGGUGACCGGCCACAUUGGGACUGAGAUACGGCCCAGACUCCUACGGGAGGCAGCAGUGGGGAAUAUUGCACAAUGGGCGGAAGCCUGAUGCAGAAACGCCGCGUGCGGGAUGAAGGCCUUCGGGUUGUAAACCGCUUUCGCCUGUGACGAAGCGUGAGUGACGGUAAUGGGUAAAGAAGCACCGGCUAACUACGUG
rnacentral:rRNA from 1 species